GCCGUGAUCGGUAUGGAACAGAGUAACGCUAGUAAGUUCAGUAUCGCCGUUAAGUUAUUCGCUAACGCCAUUAACUCUCUUUCACUCUUGUUUUUUCUUCUUUUAUGCUUUAUUUAUAUAUAGAGAAAGCGAAAUUGUGAAGAAACGAGGUUCGGUCCGGUACUGUCAAUCCGGUUUGCUGCUGAUUUAAACCGGGGAAUCAUGUCACAUGGAUGGACACGAGAUGCCUUUAUGGGCUUUUGAAAAGCACCUCUGUACAGUAUUACACAAACGCGCAUUUUAGCGCGUCAAGUAACCCGUAGAAAUAUUAGUUAUUCAACCAACCAGAACUAGCCACGUGACACCACCCGGUAGUUAGUUACCAGGCCGGAUCGGUGAUCACUGUCCAAGUUUUGAUGUAAUAAGGUGUAAUAUCAAAUAGACAUCACACUAUUUUGUUUUGA